rnacentral:tRNA from 3 species
GGGGCCUUAGCUCAGUUGGUAGAGCGCCUGCUUUGCAAGCAGGAUGUCAGGAGUUCGAUUCUCCUAGGCUCCACAA